ACUACGGGAGGCUGCAGUGAGGAAUAUUGGUCAAUGGGCGGAAGCCUGAACCAGCCAAGUAGCGUGCAGGAUGACGGCCCUACGGGUUGUAAACUGCUUUUAUACGGGAAUAACGCGCCUUACGUGUAGGGCUUUGCAUGUACCGUAUGAAUAAGGACCGGCUAAUUCCGUGCCAGCAGCCGCGGUAAUACGGAAGGUCCGGGCGUUAUCCGGAUUUAUUGGGUUUAAAGGGAGCGUAGGCCGCAUGUCAAGCGUGCUGUGAAAUGUCCGGGCUCAACCCGGGCCUUGCAGCGCGAACUGGCGUGCUUGAGUCCGCGGAAAGCAGGCGGAAUUCGGCGUGUAGCGGUGAAAUGCUUAGAUAUGACGAAGAACCCCGAUUGCGAAGGCAGCUUGCUGCAGCGGAACUGACGCUGAUGCUCGAAAGCGCGGGUAUCGAACAGGAUUAGAUACCCGUGUAGUC
rnacentral:rRNA from 1 species